GACGAACGCUGGCGGCGUGCUUAACACAUGCAAGUCGAACGGAAAGGCCCUGCUUGCAGGGUACUCGAGUGGCGAACGGGUGAGUAACACGUGGGUGAUCUGCCCUGCACUUCGGGAUAAGCCUGGGAAACUGGGUCUAAUACCGGCUAGGAGCCAUUUUUAGUGUGAUGGUUGGAAAGUUUUUUCGGUGUAGGAUGAGCUCGCGGCCUAUCAGCUUGUUGGUGGGGUAAUGGCCUACCAAGGCGGCGACGGGUAGCCGGCCUGAGAGGGUGGACGGCCACAUUGGGACUUAGAGACGGCCCAGACUCCGACGGGAGGCAGCAGUGGGGAAGAUUGCACAAGGGGCGCAAGCCUGAUGCAGAGACGCCGCGUGGGGGAUGACGGCCUUCGGGUUGUAAACUCCUUUCGCUAGGGACGAAGCUUUUUGUGACGGUACCUAGAUAAGAAGCACCGGCUAACUACGUG
rnacentral:rRNA from 1 species